AACCUCCGCAAUGUGAGAAAUCGCGACGGGGGGAUCCCAAGUGCCAUUCUUAACGGGAUGGCUCUUCAUUAGUGUAAAGAGCUUUUGGAAUAAGAGCUGGGCAAGACCGGUGCCAGCCGCCGCGGUAACACCGGCAGCUCUAGUGGUAACAAUUUUUAUUGGGCCUAAAGCGUCCGUAGCCGGUUUAAUAAGUCUCUGGUGAAAUCCUGUAGCUUAACUGUGGGAAUUGCUGGAGAUACUAUUAGACUUGAGACCGGGAGAGGUUAGAGGUACUCCCAGGGUAGAGGUGAAAUUCUGUAAUCCUGGGAGGACCGCCUGUUGCGAAGGCGUCUAACUGGAACGGUUCUGACGGUGAGGGACGAAAGUUAGGGGCGCGAACCGGAUUAGAUACCCGGGUAGUCCUAACUGUAAACGAUGCGGACUUGGUGUUGGGGUGGCUUUGAGCUGCUCCAGUGCCGAAGGGAAGCUGUUAAGUCCGCCGCCUGGGAGUACGGUGCAAGAUGAACUUAAGGAAUU
rnacentral:rRNA from 1 species